rnacentral:rRNA from 1 species
UACGUAGGCAGCGAGCGUUGUUCGGAGUUACUGGGCGUAAAGGGUGUGUAGGCGGUUGUUUAAGUUUGGCGUGAAAUCUCCCGGCUCAACUGGGAGGGUGCGUCGAAUACUGAAUGACUUGGAGUGCGGGAGAGGAAAGUGGAAUUCCUGGUGUAGCGGUGAAAUGCGUAGAUAUCAGGAGGAACACCGGUGGUGUAGACGGCUCACUGGACCGUAACUGACGCUGAGACACGAAAGCGUGGGUAGCAAACAGG